rnacentral:rRNA from 1 species
AUUGAACGCUGGCGGCAGGCCUAACACAUGCAAGUCGAACGGUAACAGGGAUCAGCUUGCUGAUUCGCUGACGAGUGGCGGACGGGUGUGUAAUGUCUGGGAAACUGCCUGAUGGAGGGUGUUAACUACUGGAAACGGUAGCUAAUACCGCAUAACGUCGCAAGACCAAAGUGGGGGACCUUCGGGCCUCUUGCCAUCGGAUGUGCCCAGAUGGGAUUAGCUAGUAGGUUGGGUUACGGCUCACCUAGGCGACGAUCCCUAGCUGGUAUGAGAGGAUGACCAGCCACACUGGAACUGAGACACGGUCCAGACUCCUACGGGAGGCAGCAGUGGGGAAUAUUGCACAAUGGGCGAAAGCCUGAUGCAGCCAUGCCGCGUGUAUGAAGAAGGCCUUCGGGUUGUAAAGUACUUUCAGCGGGGAGGAAGGGAGUAAAGUUAAUACCGUUGCUCAUUGACGUUACCCGAAGAAGAAGCACCGGCUAACUCCGUG